ensembl:lncRNA
AGUUAUGAACUGUUUCUGAGAGACAAAUAACACCAGGAUCCUUUUCUAUGUAGCUGACAGCUGGCACACAGUAAAAAAUGGAGGGUCAAUAUUUCAGAGUAAACCUAUUUUAACCUAGAUAGAGUAUUUACAACUCUAUGAAGAGUAAACCAGCUCUAACAUCAGAGUUAAAAGUCAGUGUAAAGUUUGUUAGUCACGCAGUGAAGACUUAACUCCACACAGUGUUGAUUUUUACCAGUCUGCGGGUGUGUGCGGCAGAGCUCUGAUGUGCAUGGAAUUUUCUCUGAAAAGCUGCCACAGUCAAAAAGGUUUAAGAGUGUGCAAAAACCAAAUCUCUGAGAGAUGCAACCAGAAGAUGGAUUAGAAACAUACUUGAGGCUGAGAUGACAGAAUAACAUGGGACAUCUCCCCCUAAAAGCGUAAGAGUAAUGUCUGCGCAGGGCAUUGUUGCUCUGUCUCCAUAUCUGAAAGGCCCAUAUUCACAACAUGGAUAUAAACAUUACUACGAUCCAGAGAGCGGUUCAGGAUACAUUGCAUGGUUGAAGACCAUUCAAAGAAAAGCUGCGGAGGAAAGAAGCAUCUCAGUUUGCAAAUCUCCCAAAAGUAAGUUCACUUAUCAUUUAAAUGAUACUGAUGUAAUUUGUAGGCAGGAUUCAAUCAAAUUGUUUUUUCUGAACUUGGUGGGCCAGUCCAUGGUUGAUCCAGACCACUCACCACUAAGUGUUAUCAGAUGAGGCUGUAAGAGCAGAUAUUGCUCUUUUGAGACACUCUGCUGAUGAAGACACUAUCCGUGAAAAGAUGAAAGCUACCUCCAUUUAUCGGCAUUCAAUGGUCAACGAUGAAAAGAAUGCAGCAGAUGUUUUCAGAGGCCUGAUGCAGUUUCUGGACACACCAGGAAUGAUAGAACAAGAUUUCCGACUCCUGUUUUGUAAGGUCAAUGCAAGCAAAUUCUUGGAGAGGUAGCCCAUCAAUCUCAAAGCAAAGGUUGUAAAGGAAAGUCAUGGACAUGUCCCCACCUCAGAGCUCUUGGAGUUAAUGUGAAAUGCUGAUUCAGGCUGGGACAGUGACAUGUCUACUAUCUUGCUGCUGCUACAUCUGCUACCACCAUCUGCACAAGAGCGAAAGAGACCAGGAAAGAUGUCUGCAUCUCAAGCUGUCGAUAACCUCAUUAAAUUCCCAAAGGCUGGAACCAGUGUACAGCAGCAUCUAGACAACAGCAGUCAGCCCUACCUUCUUGACUCAGGGAUCCACAAGAAGCAGCAUUCACACCUUCAUUGUGAUUGAGAAGCAUGCACUUCCUCCCUUCCCAGGAAGGUGGCACAGAUGCCCCUCCAGUGGUACUCCUUGGGCUCUCGCACUCUGGGGUCCCUGAAUGUCUGGAGCCUGGAUCUCCUCCAUGCCUGCUUCAUGCCCUGGGGGACGGGGCUAUGGCCCUCCACACCCUCUAGCACACCGUUACAUGGGGAAACCUUCUGUAUACAAGCGCGCUGAUCCACA